GGAGUCUAACAUGUGCGCGAGUCGUUGGGCGUUACGAAACCCUUAGGCGCAAUGAAAGUGAAGGUACGGUUCUGCCGGCCUGGGUGGGAUCGUCGGCCGGUCGCGGUCGGGGAGCACCACCGGCCCGUCUCACUCGCAUCGUCGGGGAGGCGGANCGAGAGCGUACACGUUGGGACCCGAAAGANGGUGAACUNUUCCUUANUUGGACGAAGCCCGA
rnacentral:rRNA from 1 species